UGUCCUACGGGACGCAGCAGUGGGGAAUAUUGCACAAUGGGGGAAACCCUGAUGCAGCGACGCCGCGUGAGUGAUGAAGUAUUUCGGUAUGUAAAGCUCUAUCAGCAGGGAAGAUAAUGACGGUACCUGACUAAGAAGCUCCGGCUAAAUACGUGCCAGCAGCCGCGGUAAUACGUAGGGGGCAAGCGUUAUCCGGAAUUACUGGGUGUAAAGGGAGCGUAGACGGUUAAGUAAGUCUGGAGUGAAAGGCCGGGGCCCAACCCCGGGACUGCUCUGGAAACUAUUUAACUUGAGGGCAGGAGGGG
rnacentral:rRNA from 1 species